rnacentral:rRNA from 1 species
AACGAACACUGGCGGCAGGCCUAACACAUGCAAGUCGAGCGAGAAGGUACCUUCGGGUACUGGAGAGCGGCGGACGGGUGAGUAACGCGUGGGAAUAUGCCUUUCGGUGGGGAUAACAGUUGGAAAACGACUGCUAAUACCGCAUACGCCCUUAGGGGGAAAGAUUUAUCGCCGAGAGAUUAGCCCGCGUUAGAUUAGGUAGUUGGUGAGGUAACGGCUCACCAAGCCGACGAUCUAUAGCUGGUCUGAGAGGAUGAUCAGCCACACUGGGACUGAGACACGGCCCAGACUCCUACGGGAGGCAGCAGUGGGGAAUAUUGCGCAAUGGAGGAAACUCUGACGCAGCCAUGCCGCGUGAGUGAAGAAGGCCUUCGGGUUGUAAAGCUCUUUCAACUGUGAGGAUGAUGACAGUAGCAGUAGAAGAAGCACCGGCUAAUUUCGUG